UGUGCGAACUGAUUCGAACGAAUCAGAUUAAAACUAAAGAUUGUUGAGGCACUUUAAAAGGAGCGACUGCUUGAAAAUUUUGUUUGUAAAUUUGUAAAUGUAGUUGAAUCGAAGUAUUGUGGGGCCUUAAUUAGUUCAGAAGCACACGAGACAUAAAUGCAAUUCGUUGUCAUUCCCAACUCGUACUGUUAUUAGACUUGAACGGUGGAAUAGCUGGCGAUCCGAUAUGCGUAGAUAUGUUACACCCCGUGUAAACUUUAGACCGGAACUUCCUGAUCUCUAAAACAGAAGGUGCAGUAUAGGCGGAGACCUAAUUUCACAACUUUGUGGCGAGACCUUGUCUAAAAAGGAGUUGUAUAGGACCAUAUCACCACAAAUAUGACUUCGGAUGUGCCAGUUCUCCUCGCAGCAGUGUCGAUACUGUCUGCUCUCCACCUGGCAUUACAGGCAAG